rnacentral:pre_miRNA from 1 species
AAAAAGACAAACCCUGAAUUUUCGUGUCCAACUUUGACCGUCCGUCUUAUAUGAAAUUUUUUUAUAAUUCGUAUUUUCAUUGUUGUUAGAUGAUAAAACAUGAUUAAUAUUUUAUGCGUGACUUGUCUUUUUAAUUUUUUUAUAUUUUUUUCAAAUAAGACGGACGGUCAAACAUUGGACACGGAAACUAGGGUUUGUCUUUUU